rnacentral:rRNA from 1 species
UAAGGUUAAGUUAGUAAGGGCGCACGGUGGAUGCCUUGGCACUAGGAGCCGAAGAAGGACGUGACAAACGACGAAAUGCCUUGGGGAGCUGUAAGUAAGCGUAGAUCCAGGGAUGUCCGAAUGGGGGAACCCAAUAGGUAGAUACCUAUUACCCGUAUCUGUUAAGGAUAUGAGGAGGAAGACGCAGUGAACUGAAACAUCUAAGUAGCUGCAGGAAGAGAAAGCAAAAGCGAUUGCCUGAGUAGCGGCGAGCGAAAGGGCAAGAGGGCAAACCGAGAAGUUUACUUCUCGGGGUUGUAGGACUGCGAUGUGGAUUUAAAGAUUAUAGAAGAAGACCUUGGGAAAGGUUGCCAGAGAGAGUAAGAGCCUCGUAUUUUAAAUAAUCUUUAUACCUAGCAGGAUCCUGAGUACGGCGGGACACGAGGAAUCCCGUCGGAAUCUGGGAGGACCAUCUCCCAACCCUAAAUACUCCCUAGUGACCGAUAGUGAACCAGUACCGUGAGGGAAAGGUGAAAAGCACCCCGGGAGGGGAGUGAAAGAGAACCUGAAACCGUGUGCCUACAACAAGUUCGAGCCCGUUAAUGGGUGAGAGCGUGCCUUUUGUAGAAUGAACCGGCGAGUUACGUUAUGAUGCGAGGUUAAGUUGAAGAGACGGAGCCGUAGGGAAACCGAGUCUGAAGAGGGCGGUAUAGUAUCAUGAUGUAGACCCGAAACCAUGUGACCUACCCAUGAGCAGGUUGAAGGUGAGGUAAAACUCACUGGAGGACCGCACCAGGGCACGUUGAAAAGUGCUUGGAUGACUUGUGGGUAGCGGAGAAAUUCCAAACGAACUUGGAGAUAGCUGGUUCUCUCCGAAAUAGCUUUAGGGCUAGCGUCGACAGAAAGAUUCUUGGAGGUAGAGCACUGUUUGGGUGAGGGGUCCAUCCCGGAUUACCAAUCUCAGAUAAACUCCGAAUGCCAAUGAAUUAUGGUCGGCAGUCAGACUGCGAGUGCUAAGAUCCGUAGUCGAAAGGGAAACAGCCCAGACCACCAGCUAAGGUCCCAAAAUAAUUGUUAAGUGGAAAAGGAUGUGGGGUUGCACAGACAACUAGGAUGUUAGCUUAGAAGCAGCUAUUCAUUCAAAGAGUGCGUAAUAGCUCACUAGUCGAGUGACCCUGCGCCGAAAAUGUACCGGGGCUAAAACAAUUUACCGAAGCUGUGGAUCCUUUAGGGGAUGGUAGGAGAGCGUUCUAUGUGUGGUGAAGGUGUACCGUGAGGAGCGCUGGAACGCAUAGAAGUGAGAAUGCCGGUAUGAGUAGCGCAAGACAGGUGAGAAUCCUGUCCACCGUAAGACUAAGGUUUCCAGGGGAAGGCUCGUCCGCCCUGGGUUAGUCGGGACCUAAGGAGAGACCGAAAGGUGUAUCCGAUGGCCAACAGG